GGGGCAUGAACCUGGCAUACAAUGUAGAUUUCUGUGUUUAUUAGGCAACAGCUACAUUGUCUGCUGGGUUUCAGGCUACCUG
ensembl:miRNA Mir221 microRNA mir-221